AUCGAACGCUGGCGGCAGGCCUAACACAUGCAAGUCGAGCGGAGCGGCGGACGGGUGAGUAAUGCCCAGGAAUCUGCCUGGUAGCGGGGGAUAACGUCCGGAAACGGGCGCUAAUACCGCACACUAUCAGAUGAGCCUAGGUCGGAUCAGCUUGUUGGUGGGGUAAAGGCCUACCUAGGCGACGAUCCGUAACUAGUCUGAGAGGAUGAUCAGUCACACUGGAACUGAGACACGGUCCAGGCUCCUACGGGAGGCAACAGUGGGGAAUAUUGGAAAGUGAGCGAGAGCCUGAUCCAGCCAUGCCGCGUGUGUGGAGAAGGUCUUCGGAUUGUAGAGCACUUUAAGUUGGAAAGUGUUACCAACAAAAUAGCGCCGGCUAACUUCGUGCCAGCAGCCGCGGUAAUUC
rnacentral:rRNA from 1 species